GCUGCCCAAAACCAGUUUGUUGGGUUGCUCUGUCAUGGUUCUGGGGCGUUGAAAGCGUACAAAUAUUGUGACGUCAUUGUGGCUUAAGCAACAGAAAGAGGAACGAACCCCUCCACAACAAGUAAGUAAAUUAAAAGUGUUUUCUGUGUGUUUGCCGCUUCCUGUAAUGAAAAUGGCGGCUUGUCAUGCGAUUUGGUCUCGCCUCCGGUAGCAGACCGACGCGACUUUGCGUCUGAAUAAACGGCAGCAGGACAAGAGCUGCCAUGAAAGCCUCAAGAGUUGGGCUGGCAAACCCUUUCAAGUAUUCCAGUCGCUGGCUUAAAGCUUCUCUUACAGUUUUUGUCCCACUUUUCUUCGAACUGUGCUGCAGAUUUGAAAGCCAAAGAAUUCCUUGAAAUUCGCUUCGGGCAUGUGAAGCAAUUUGUGAAUUCUGAUUAUAUUUUCGUUAUAUUUUUCUUUGUCUUUGAAUUGGUGCUUUUAUUGUUUUUGUUUCCUUCUCUUGCCGCGCUUAAUUUUCUGCUUUAGCAAAUUAUUUCUGCCAGCGUUUUGUUAACUUUUGCAUUUUGUUUUCCAUUUUCCAUUUUCCAUUUCCCAUUUUCCAUUUAUUUUCUGCCAGAUUUUUCCAUUUACG
rnacentral:lncRNA from 1 species